ensembl:lncRNA
AUACUGGAGUGGGUUGCCAUCUCCUUCAUAUAUAUAUAUAUACAUAUAUACAUAUAUACACAUAUAUAUUAUAUAUACACACACACACAUAUAUACAGACACACACACACAAUGGAAUAUAGGCCAUUAAAAAGAAUGAAAUAAUGCCAUUUGCAGCUGCAUGGAUGGACCCAGAGAUUAUCAUACUAAGCAAUGUAAGUCAGAGAAAGACAAAUACCAUAUGAUAUUACUUGUAUGUGGAAUCUAAAAUACAACAAGUGAACAUAUCUAUGAAACAGAAACAGGCUCACAGUUAUAGUUAUUCUAUUUCCUCAUCAUAUAUUUGACAUUGGACUUCCCAAGUGGAGCAGUGGUAAAAAAUCGCCUGCCAAUGCAGAAAUCCCAGAAGACAGGCAUUCAGUCCCUGGAUCGGCAAGAUCCCUUGGAGGAGGAAAUGGCAACCCACUCCAGUAUUCUUGGCUGGAGAAUCCCAUGGACAGAGGAGAUCGGCAGGCUACAGUCCAUGUGGUGACAAAGAGUCAGACACAACUUAGCAUGCACAUGAUGGGAUAUUUCACAAAUUUAGCUUCUUAAUGCUAUUCUUCAGAUCUUCUGUACUGCACCCUAUUGUUUGCCUGAGAGGGUAUGUUAAAAACCACAGUUCUAAUAGUUGAUUCAUUCUUGAGUUGAUUGCUUUGUUCAUUAGGUUCCAAAUUUUUUUGGUUUCUUUCUAAUAUAUUUAACAUUCUACAUCUCUAAUUAAAGCCUUAGUUGUAGCCUAGAAACUCGGAUAAACUUUUAUUUAAAGUAUUUCAUAAUUUCUCCGACUUUUUGUAACCCAAAUUUUACUAUUCGUAAAGUUUUUAGUUUCCAGACAUUUGUCAACUUUAAAAAGUUAUCCUUUGCUUAGUAAUUUCUCAUGUUAUUGUACUACAGUCAUAGAACAUGGCUGUGUAACACUGAUUCUUUAAAACGUAAUAUUAAGGCUUCCUUUGUAAUUUUGUACGUGGUCAUUUUUUGUAAAUGUUUUACACGUGCUAAAAAAAAUGUAUUAUCUGUUAGAUGUAGAAUUCUUCAUAUAUAAUAUAUGGAGCGUAUUAAUUUCAUUAUUCAGAUCUUUUAUAUCUCUG